CUUGCUCGUAUAAAGCCCGACGAAAACACCGACUGGACAUACCGUGUAAGCAAAUGCCCUAGAAGCAGAGACGGAGUUGUAGAUCGGUAUGGGGCCUGCUGACUCUUGCUUCAUCGCCCUGGCCAUGAAGAAAACCUCCGCUCUUUUGCACCGCGUGAUAAGGCAGAUGAGCGUGUCGGAGAAAAAAGGGUAACCGUUGACGAGUACAUUGAGCUGAAAAGGUUUAUUAUGAGUCUCCAAGAUCAGGUGAACGCGCUCUCCAAAAAGACUCCAUAAGAAGAAGCGUUUGUGGAAGCAGCAGGAUGAGACAUUACGCAUUGGUCUUCAUUUUAGUUAUGGUUUGUGAUUUGCUUAUUCGUGCUUUACAUUGAGGUUCAGAAUCAUAACAAGGACUCUUAUGGACAAAGAGGCAGGGCUUAUUCUGUGAUUUCUUACACGCGGCAUGUCGUGUCACAAGAAGAACCCUACUUGUUUACACAUACACCGAUAGUAUGGGCCAUGAUGUGGUGGGAUCCAUCAAAUUAGCCUUUAAGCUCCAAAACCCAGAUACACCAUUCAUCAUGCAUGUCUUUUGCAAAACGUAGGGAACAUUUAAUUCCGGACACGUCCGGCGGCUGAAGAACGGAGGAAUCCGAGUCAGACGAGUAACUUCGAGCUAUUCUGUGGAUUUUUCUACUCUGUCUUUGGUAAUAAUGACUUGAAGAAGUUAAAGAUUGGAUUUUGAUCCUGCUCGGAGAGAUGAAGCAGCGAUUCGGAGACGCAGAUAUAACGGCGAGCAAAGCUCUGGUCGCCAUGGCUGGCUAUAUCUCUCAAGUACUGUGAAUUGAUGAUAGUGUGCCUGGCUGGAUAGAUUUGAGUUGAACAAAAUAAAAAUAUAGCUAAA